rnacentral:rRNA from 1 species
GACGAACGCUGGCGGCGUGCUUAACACAUGCAAGUCGAGCGAUGAAGCUUCUUCGGAAGUGGAUUAGCGGCGGACGGGUGAGUAACACGUGGGUAACCUGCCUCAUAGAGGGGAAUAGCCUUCCGAAAGGGAGAUUAAUACCGCAUAAGAUUGUAAUAUCGCAUGAUAUAGCAAUUAAAGGAGUAAUCCGCUAUGAGAUGGACCCGCGUCGCAUUAGCUAGUUGGUGAGGUAACGGCUCACCAAGGCGACGAUGCGUAGCCGACCUGAGAGGGUGAUCGGCCACAUUGGGACUGAGACACGGCCCAGACUCCUACGGGAGGCAGCAGUGGGGAAUAUUGCACAAUGGGGGAAACCCUGAUGCAGCAACGCCGCGUGAGUGAUGACGGUCUUCGGAUUGUAAAGCUCUGUCUUCAGGGACGAUAAUGACGGUACCUGAGGAGGAAGCUCAUCAAGUGACGGCAACUACCCAGAAAGGGACGGC